UGGAUUUCCGUCUGUUGUGUGGAAUGAACCAAAUUGAAUUGGUCCAAUAAAAUGGCAUAAGUUCACAUUUAACUUGAUGUUUAAUGUCUCUUUUUGUUUGACUUUGCUUCUCUUGAUGAGUGUAGCAUCAUAUUUUCGUAUUGACCUAGGAUAACUGGCUCCUGAAGGGAUAUGUUGUUUAUUCAGUGCACAUAUGGGUACCUAUUUCUUGUUGCCAGAAAGUUUUGAAUCUUAAUGCAGGUACUGUAACUGUUCAAUGAGGCUAUCUCAUGCCUUAGGCUACUAAUAUGAAGCUGUAUACAUCAGGGGUUUCCCCAAAAGGGUGAAAGACUUGUAUAACAACGGACACCAACUAUUUACUUAUCAGUAUGAGCAGCACAACUUAUUUAUUGAGUUCGACUCGGUAAUAGUGGGAUAGUAAACUUGAUUUCAGUUUUGGCAAGGUAGUACAGUAUGGAAUCAUAUAUCUUUAAUGUCAAGCUAUUGCAAACUAAACAAUGGGCUCAUCAUGGAACGGAAGCUUCUUAUACCGAUCAGCUUGUUAUUAAUUUGAGCAAUUUCAACUUGCAGCUAGAAUGGGGAUGCUCCAACUUCAACUGCACAGAAGACAAGUUCAUUUUCAACUAGGAGCAAACCUUUCCUAGCUUAUAUGGGAUCCUGCUUUCCUUGUUUUCAGAUCAGACCGAUUCAUUAUUCAUGGACCAAUGGGCCAUGAGCUCUGCAGGGUCAGCGUAAGCACAACAGAUGAUCUGACUCGUGAAGAGGAAGAGAGGAGCCGGAGACAAGCAGAUGAUCCGGUUCGCCGACCCAGUCGAACACUCUGCCCCAUCCAGCCAUUCUCUCUGGCUGCUGCAUGGACAUGGAGACACAUGCAUUUUGCAUCUACAGUUUCUCCCAUGUUCUGCUCAUCCUCCUCGUCACCCCCAUGCCCCAUCCUCCCAACCACUCGUGACUGCAGCUGGAUGGCGACGCCGUCUCUCUUCCUUCGUGCACCGAUCCACCAUGAUGCCAUCGUGCGUGCUAUGGUAUGGCCCCUGCCCCGAGGAUGGAUGAACCGACCAAGCUUACAAGAAUCCCUAAAUAUUUA